GGAGGGCGCAUUAACGACGAUGUGUCGCAUUUUAAAUUUCUGGGAGGAUUGACAGAUUGAGAGCUCUUUCUUGAUUCGGUGGAUGGUGGUACAUGUCCGUUCUGAGUUGGUGAAGCAAUUUGUCUGGUUCAUUCCGAUAACAAAUGAGACUCUAGCCUUUUAAAUAGAUGCGUGGUUCUCUGCACCUUGCACCCUUCUUAGAGGGACAAGCGGCUCCUAACCGCACAAAACAGAGCAAUAACAGGUCUGUGAUGCCCUUAGAUGUCCGGGGCCGCACGCGCGCUACACUCAAGAAAGCAGCGUGUUUUUAUCCCUGUUUGUUAAAACAAUAAGCUUAGAAAAUGUUACGAGCAAAUACAGAGGGCUAAUUGAAGUCCAUUGAAUUACCCCCGAGCA
rnacentral:rRNA from 1 species